rnacentral:pre_miRNA from 1 species
AGGAGGAACAACCCCAGUGGCGGGGCCAGCUCUGGAGCCCUGGAGUCAGCUCCCGCAGUCACCAUGGAGCUCUCCGUCUGCAGGGCCUGGAGGCUCCGGGGCGGG